CUGGUGUGACAUCAUCGGGUCACAUGACUAGGAAGUUAUAUAGAAUGUCACAACAAUUGUACAACAAAUGUACUUUUUUUUUUCAAAUAUAAGUUGUUUAUCAUAUGCUGCAUGUAUUUAUAAAUACAUUGUAUGUGAUUUCAGCUCUUUAGAUAAAACCACCACAAAGGUAAAUAUAUUUAUUUCAAUAUGACAUUCACUUUACUUACAUAUUUAUAACAGAUAUAUAAAUAAUAUAAAAGUUAAUAAUUGUAUUAAUCUAUACUUAAUCUAUUUACUAACAUCAACUACUCAUGAAAAAGGAUCGUGUUUUAAUGUUUAAUGGAAUAAUGCACAUAUUUUUGUUGUGCAUUUUGCACUUUUGAGACACUCCCUAACUUGAAACGCCCAAGUGGGGAUCAUUGUGAGGACUUUUUCACUUCUGAUUCUAAAAACAAUAACAUCACCUAUUAAUAUUAUAAUUAACUUUUGAUACUAGGAUUUAUAAUGUGAUUUGAACGAGAUACAGCAUCAUCCACGUCUUUAUAUGCGAUUAUAUAUCAAUUAACACUGAAGAAAAGAGCGAAUGUCUAACGAAUGUCCAACAUAAAACCAACUUUACCGCACCGGCUACUAUUUAUUUUCUCUCUCAUGUGUGGGGCUCUGUAAAUAGACAACGGUGGAUACAAAUUCUCCAGCAACAGGCCUCCUGUACUUUAAUUCGGCAACUUUUAUUCAUGCCACCGCGACAAACUCAGAGGUAGCCUACUGGAUGAGAGAUGAGGGACAAGGAGUGAUGUCAUCUGCUUGAUCAGAGCGGGGCUGCAAAGACACAAGGAAGCCCACCAUGGUUGUCCCACUCAUCUCUCCCAUACUCUCAUUGAUCGCAAUUGUACGUCAUUAAUUCUUCCAGAGGUACAAUCAAUCAGCGAGGCACUGAACUAACUACUCUGGAUACUUACACAAAACCAAACCAACAGUGUGAAGCAGGGGAAUUUCUUGGCUGGAAUCAGGGGAAUUUGCUUCCAAAUAAGGAGUUCCUAUCUGUGGAGGUAAUACAACACACCCAAUUGCAAAUUUGUGUCCUAACAAAAGCGAGAUUUAUUUGGUGUAUAUACACACCUUAAAAUAGUAUCGAGGUGUUGUAUAGAAACAACUUCAGAGGAAUUUCCAUUGAAAUGAGGAGACCCUGUAGGUGGGGUAAUACAUCACACCUGAUCCCAAUCUCGUGCCCUAACCAAGGCAAGACUAUGGAAACAUGAAUACAAAACAGGAUUCAGGCAGGCUCAACAGUAGUCUCAGGGUGUGUCUCAAUCAGCUCCCUGGUUCAGUAUGGGCACUGAUCAGGGAGUCAGCCAUUUAGGGGUUGUCUCGAUCACAAAAUCACUCCCUAAAAAGUCUCACAAUACACUGUGAAAACCAGGGAGCAUCAAUGCUCACUGUGUUCCCUUAAUGGAAGUUCUGAAGCAGGAAACAAAUCACGUGAGUCAACUCAAUACACAUAAUGACACUUGAUUUUUUUUUAACUAUUAUAGAAUUUAUCAUUUCAGCAUAAACAUACAAUAUAAAUAAAAUACAUUAUUUAAAUAAAGAUUGAAAGAGUUUAGUCAUGACAUUGAAGUUGUGCGACCAUGGAGUUAUUUAUAGAUUAACAUUAUAGCUUUUCAAUUCUGGCUACUGUAUUUAGACUUCAAACUUCAUAAAACUUGUUUAUUUGCGUCCAUCUUAAAUGGACAAAAUGUGUAAGAAUCAUAAACUUUGUUGGUCACAGGGCUUAUUUUCUACAAUAAUCCAAAACCCAAUAAAUAAUUCUACUGGCUUUUUGUCGAGGGAACGAGUUUGAUGCUAACUCUCGGGUUGGCCUGCAAAAAUGUCAUCCCUGCAGCACACCUAUGGAAGGUGCGUUUGAGCACAUUGCAUUGCAUACAGCAUAUUUUGGUCAGUAUAAUAAUGAAGAUCAUCAAGUUAUUCUGUUCAUAGAGAAAAUGUGCAAUAUAUAUAAUGCAGAAAUAGUAAGAGUAUGAUAGUAUGCUAUUUUGAACAUAAGUACCAUUAACAACUAAAACGGUCCUCUACUCCACCAUGUUAAAAGAUCAUCCUAACACAACUCUUGUAUCAAAAUUGUCUCAGAAGGUCCCAUGCAUAAUCAAAGUGCCUCUAACUAUAGUAUUUGAGAAAAUGUGGAAGAGCAAAUGCUCAGGAGAACUGCAAAUAACAAUUAAAAAGAAACAAAUAGUUCAUAUUCCAUGUGUAUAUGCUGUAUUAAUAGGCAAAUUGAUCACUCGCAGUCUGUAAAUGACAAUGGUGUCAUUAAAAGUAUUCCAAUUGAUUUCAUGUUUUGAUAACUUCAAUCACAUACUCUCUCUCCAAAACCCACAUCCAAAGACAUGUCAGCCAACCCAAUGCCAGCAAAGAAAAUAUUGACAGGAAGAAAGUGUCUCUGAUUGGCUAAAAAAAAAAAAAGAAAAAAAAAAAGGGUACGCCACUCACCUGACUCUUUUUUUCCAGGUAGACAUUCUUAAAAAAAAAAAAAAUCGCUUGCAGUACGUAUAAUGAUAAUCAAUGAGAAAUUAUAUAUAUAAAAAAAAAUCAUGCUUUAUAUAUAGUGACAUUAAUGAAGAUCACUGUCUGCAUUCAUUCUACAGUCAUCCCAAAAGGCCUUAUUCAUUUCCUUACAACAUUGGUUUUAAUGCAUUUUCUCAGCAGAAGGUAUCCCAUGUUAAAAUUUGUCAGAUUUUACAUUAAAGGAGAAACCUUUCCACCACUUUUUGCUAAACUGUGAUGCUUUUUGAUGCAUUCUUACACACUUAUUUAACCGGUCUUCUAUCACCUUGCAAUCCAUCCCGCUCUUUAAGGUCACAAAACUCUGGACUUUUGGUUGUACCUAGGAUAUCUAAGUCCAGCCUAAAGGAGGGAGAGUGUUUUCACAUUUGGCUCCUGAACUCUGGAAUAGCCUUCCUGAUGAUGUUCGGGGCUCAGAGACACUAUCCCAGUUUAAAAAGAUUAAAGACAGAUCUCCUUAGCCAAGCAAUCACAUAAUCUUAUAACCUUGUACUCCAGUUAUAUCAGAUCAAAUGCACAUGAUUACCCUUGCUUGAAAUGUAAUGAACAGCAGCUAUGCUACUUAUUUUCCAUUUGCUUUUCUGUUUUCUGUUCAUCUCAGGAUGCCCAUCCCAAGGUAACUAGAAAGUACAUCAGCUUCAUUCGAUCCAGCCUCUUAUGAAGACUUCAGAUGCCCAAAUACCCGUGAAGAGAUGGCCCCAACCCCUGCGAGGACUUCAGAUGACAUCAACUCUGAAUCAACAUGCACCAAUGCUAAAUUUUCUAUAUAUUGUAAUCAUUAUGUUCACAACUUGUAAUAAUUGCUUGAGUGAGCUCAUUGUUUCUGCCUAAAAUUAAUACAUUAUGUUAGCUAACUGCGUGAUUUGUAUGUACAUUUCUGAAAAACAUUACUUGGACGGUCACCUCUGAUAACAGAUCACUCUAAAUUGUAAUGUAGUCACAUGUAUUUUCUGUAAAGCUGCUUUGAAAUGGUAUGUAUUGUGAAAAGCGCUAUACAAAUAAAUGUGAAUUGAAUUAUCAAGAAGUACGUCAAAAGUUCAUGUGUAAAGAAACUGCUAACAAUGCUAACAACAAAUAAAUUGCUAACAUUUACCUGCUAGCUAACUGUAUGAAUUUGAUAGUGUAUACUCUACCUAAUCAGAAAGAAAUGGUUGGUUUGUUUAGCCUGUAAGUUAC